AAAAGUGUGAGUGUCUUUCACCUGUAUGUCACAAGGGGGAUCAAACAUGGCUGAUAUAUCUGUAGAGUACUGAUGGUCACUGUUCAUUUCUCCAGAACGAGAGCAGCCAGGAGCUGAAAGCGUGGGCAGAGGAACAGGAUGCUGAGGACGAGUUGGAAGACGGUUCUGAACGGAUUGCUGAUUUCCUGUAAUCAAGAUUCGUGGACUGAGAGUUUGCAUGGUUGGUGCUUGGUCCAGGACAGGAGAGACACCUGGUCCAACACGGUGAUGGAUGGUUGACAGGAUGACUCACCAAGACGAACAAGACGUGCCAAACAAUGGAGAGGGGCUGCCACGGGAGCCUGAAGGAAAAGUAAUGAGAGCAGCCAGGAGCUGACAGUGCGGGCAGAGGAACAGGAUGCUAAGGACGAGUUGGAUGACGUUUUCCUAAACCGAAUCAUGAUUUCCUGUAGUCAGGUUUUGUGGAUUCACAUGUUGUCUAGUUGGUGCUCGUUACAGGCUACCUAGUCUGCAAAAGGUGACUUGCAUCGUACCCUACCAGCUGAACAAGGCUUGAGAUCUGAAACGAUCUCCAUCCAGAACUGAACUCGUGUCAGUGUAGGAAGCUUUUGGGCCAGCAGGGAGACUGAGAGAGCACAGGCUGCUGAAAGGACGGCUGGAGUUCACAGGCUGGGCACUGCUGAAUAUCUGCACGACUGUCUCCAAGAAGAUGAGAAGAUGUUACUGUGCGACAGAAUGAAUGCAAUAAAUGUCAAAUGUCUGGGUUUUUUUUACUUUUAAAACAUGGAACAAUUAAAAUGAUUUUUUCUUUUUUGUCAAAAGACAUUCCUUGUGUCAUUUAAGAUGUUUUCUUAUUAAGUGUUCCCUCCCUCUUGGGAAGGUUUGUGGACGAACAUCUGUUUCCAGUGGUGUAAAAAAAUAAAGUCAGGUGAGGGUAGAGAAAAGAACCUCUCAACCUCAUUCUCAGUGUAUCACACCCUCUCUAUCUACAUUACAUAUUUAACAUUUGAAACAACUUUCUUCUUUUAUAAGACUUGUCACCCAGGUGUACAAUGAGAAUUGGACUAACUGUAGGUGUUCAAACCCUGUCCUAACAUACCUGCUGGUUGAUAAAAAGAUUAUUUUUAUACUUUGACCAGGACACCAUAGCAGCAACUAUAGCUGAAUGCACACAUUUUAUCUUGAAAUUGUUGUUUUUUUCCUAUUUGACAUGUUUUUUAAUCCUUGUUUUGUGGAGAAUUACUUUUAAAUUCUUUUAU